GGUGAACGCUGGCGGCGUGCCUAAUACAUGCAAGUCGAGCGAACGGACGAGAAGCUUGCUUCUCUGAUGUUAGCGGCGGACGGGUGAGUAACACGUGGAUAACCUACCUAUAAGACUGGGAUAACUUCGGGAAACCGGAGCUGAUACCGGAUAAUAUUUUGAACCGCAUGGUUCAAAAGUGAAAGACGGUCUUGCUGUCACUUAUAGAUGGAUCCGCGCUGCAUUAGCUAGUUGGUAAGGUAACGGCUUACCAAGGCAACGAUGCAUAGCCGACCUGAGAGGGUGAUCGGCCACACUGGAACUGAGACACGGUCCAGACUCCUACGGGAGGCAGCAGUAGGGAAUCUUCCGCAAUGGGCGAAAGCCUGACGGAGCAACGCCGCGUGAGUGAUGAAGGUCUUCGGAUCGUAAAACUCUGUUAUUAGGGAAGAACAUAUGUGUAAGUAACUGUGCACAUCUUGACGGUACCUAAUCAGAAAGCCACGGCUAACUACGUG
rnacentral:rRNA from 1 species